GUGCAGUACCAGACGAGAGUCUUCAGUCAUCCCUGGAAAAACCAUCUGAUACAGAAGUAUCAGAUGGGAAUGCGCAGUCAACGACAGCGCAGCCAAUUGUUAUAGAGGCCCCUGAGCCUUCAACGGAUGAGCACCUUAAUCGAGGUGACAUUCCAAUUGAUAUAGAGGCCCCUGAGCCUGCAACGGAUGAGCACCUUAAUCAAGGUGACAUUUCUAUGCCGGGUAAGCAGUGAUCAAUCUAUUACGAAGAACUUUCCAUGAGAGUGUGAUGUUCGAUCUACUGAUGCUAUCUUGGUCUGUAGAUUGCAAAGGAAAUAAUGGCAAUUCAAUAGCUCCCAAAGCACCGAGAGCAGGAAAAGCACCCUCACCGGAGAGGAUGAAAUAUUGGGGAGAACAUGGCUUUAGCAGGUAACGCGGAAUACACUCCCAUCAGUAGAAGACAACUGCAGUAUGCGUCUAAAUAUUUUCAUUAAUAUAUUGGUUUUGUGUUAAUGCAGUUUGAUUGUCGCUGCUCCUGGGCACGAGGUGGAGAGUGUGGUUGCUGAUUUGCUUCCACUCUUGUCUUACUCGGCCCCGUUUGCUAUUUAUCACCAGUAUCUUCAGGUAAAUCUUCAUUAUUUACAACUGAUACAGAUGCCAGUUCCUACAAAAUGUUUGUCUUGCGGCAUUUCUGCAGAGAAAUUUCCUUUAUAUCCUGUCGCUUCCCUGAAACAUUAGCUUAUGUGUUAAAUUGACCUUUUUUUUUGUUUUAUCCUUAUUUCUGUUUGCUCAUUUUGUAAAGUUUAGUUUUGCUGUUACUUAUCUUUUGUUUUCUGGUGUCUACAUGCAGCCUCUUGCGACUUGCAUGCAUAGUUUGCAAGUAUCGAAAAUGGCUAUUGGGUUACAGAUAACUGAACCCUGGCUUCGAGAGUAUCAGGUCAGUAUGCUAGGCAUUUUUCUUCUUGUUGUUUUUAUAAGCCUGAUUAAUAAUUACCAAAGUGUGGCUGCUUAUAAACCAAUUUUGACAGUAAGGAAUGUAGAGUAAUAAAAUGUUUGAAGGUCCAUAUAUGGAUACCUGUCUGAAGCCUAAAUUACCAAAGUUUCGCUGUUUAUAAACCAAUUUUGUUGCCACCCUACUUGAGUACUCCCUCCGUUUCUUUUUAGUCCGCAUAUAAGGUUUGGUCAAAGUCAAACUUUGUAGAGUUUGACUAACUUUAUAAUAAAAAUUAUAAACAUUCACAAUAUGAAAUCAAUAUUAUCAGAUGCACCAUGAAACGUAUUUUCAUACUAUAUAGUUUUAGUAUUGUAGAUGUUCAUAUUUUUUAAUAUAAAUUUGGUCAAAUUUUGUGUAGUUUGACUUUGACCAAAUCUUAUAUGCGGAGUAAAAAGAAACGGAGGGAGUACUAAUAACUGCUGGGUUGUUGUGGUGUGUGAUGAGCAUGCUUGCAACAAAAUUGGUUUAUAAAUGCAAAAAAAAUGGCCUCUGAAUUAUGAAUGCUACUUAUAAAUUCAACAAAGGGUCUGUGACUAGUGUCGUGAAUUAUGCAGGUAAAUCAUCUAUAAAAACCAGAAACUGUGCUGAUUUCCUUGUUAUUUUAAUCUCCCUUACCUUUGGAUGCAGGUCCUUCCAUUGCGCAGCCACCCACACAUGCAGAUGAACGCGUUUGGUGGGUAUAUCUUGAGCGGCAUCCGGGUACACAAGCCAGACCCGUCGGGAGCACGAGUGCAAGAGAAGUCAUCUGGUGCAACGGAGAGCAUGCUUGUCUCGUUGUAACUUCUUUUUUCUACGGGUUGCAGCGAUACGGUUUGCGUUGCGGCAUCAGGUCUGAGGAGUAUACUUGUAAACAAGUAUGUCUUGCAUCCUUCCCCUGUGGGAAGGACAUGUAACAUAUGCCUGCCGGUAUUCGCCUGUGUUGUAACUGUGGUUGAUUCACAUCCCAGUUUUGAUUAAUUCACUCUCGUACCAGUGGAACAUUGAUAUGCCAUGGACAUGGUUUUCCACAUCAUCAAUUUACCCCUUCCUCUUAAGAAUUUACCACCAUGAAUAAACAUACCUAGUGACUUUGCCUAACUAACAUGUUCUGUUGUCCGAAGAAACUUGACCCGUUUUGCUGUUCAUCAGAGUCAACCCUCUGAGAAAACGAAUUUGGAAAAUACUAAUAUGAAGCACACUUUUAGUUAGUCUGCAAAAGCAUAUUUCAAUGUUAUAAAAGCUUUGGUAGUAAGAUUUGGACUUUUUGGCAAGGUUUGGGAUUUUGGUACUAGAACUCAAAUAUCUGAAAUUUAAAAAACUAUUCAGAAUUAUUUAUUUUGAGAUUUCUUAUUAAAUUUUGAGAAAAAGAUAUCUGCUAUAUUUGAAUUUGAUUUCAAGUGUGUCAAAAGUUUUUGAUAUAAUUUUUCUUUUGAUACCCACUGAAACUACCAAAAAUGAAAUGGUGAACUCUUUUUAUACUGUAUGUAGCAUGUCUAAGAUGUUUCAUCACUUCAAAAGAGAAACUCCAUUGCGUACAACAUCACAAAUUUAACUGCUGCUACCAAGUCUGGAGCACAAGACCAUGCAGUUCAUGGCGAAGAAAAGAAGCUCGUAUAUUUGACGAGAUCACAAAAUGUUGAUGCACAAAAUGCAGUAAAUGGUGCUCCUCUCCUCUCCUAUGGUGAUGCUGAUAUCUUGGGACUUCACACCCCUAAUUUGGCGAUGAUCUACAGGAUUUCCGGAACACAACUGAAGGUCAUGACUUCAAGCAAGCCAGAUGAGAUCAGCAACAUUCUUCUGCUGAGAAAACUAAAUUACUCUCAGAUCACACCUUGUAGCUAGGUGAAUUCAGAGGAUGGUCGUGACAGAAAAUAUAUAGCGAAUUAAGGGUACACGUUCACGCCAGCCAAGGACAUGGCGUCUGGGAUUUACCCCAAGUACAGGAAGUUGAGCUCCAGGGCUAUCAGAUCGAUCUGGCGUUUUGUACCCAUUACAACCAGUGAAAGGUAACUUCUUUUUUGAGCUAGUGAAAGGUAGCUUUUAUAAUGCUAAUAAUGUAAAAGCUGGUGAACAAGGAGACAGUAAAAGUAAUUCAAAAAGUGACAGCUCUAGUCUUCAGAGCCAUUGGAUGCACGAUCAAGGGUGUGGCAGUGUGUCGGAACUCCGUGGAAAUCGGUGGUACGUUGCUGUUAGAUUUGAUGAAGAUAACCACUGGGUGUCGAUUUCUUCAGAUAACAACAUGACAAGUGUCGAUUUCUUCAGAAGCUGCAGUCUGGUUCCUGACAAGGUGUGUAAGUAAUUGGCAUGGUUCUGCCGGUCAGGGUCAGAUUAUUUUAUACUGCACAACACUAAUACCGAAUGACCGAGAUACUAACCUAGGAAAGGCUUCUUCUUCAUUAGCAUUCUUAUUCCGUAGACUUGCAAUUCAAUUCCUUGGCAGCACUCCAAUUCUGAAACGUUUUCAAGUCGGUUAAGCACUAAUAAGAACAUGUUAGCUAGCUAGUGUGCUUCUUGCAGAGUUGCAUUUCACUGUGGCCUUAUUACCUCACAUGAAUAAACGUUCUGCUGGAGUUGCAGUUCUUGGCGAGAACCGUGAGUACAAAACCUUCACCAAUUACUCACACCUGCAAAAAUCGACCGGCCAUUGAGUCAGCUGAUUAUUCAUAGCGUCCCUCUACACAGAGCAGACAUACAUAGCCUCCUUCUUACCUUUGCAGUGUCAGUUUUUCGUGAUAAAAGGCUG
rnacentral:lncRNA from 1 species